rnacentral:rRNA from 1 species
CCUACGGGAGGCUGCAGUGGGGAAUAUUGCACAAUGGGGGAAACCCUGAUGCAGCGACGCCGCGUGAGUGAAGAAGUAAUUCGUUAUGUAAAGCUCUAUCAGCAGGGAAGAAAAUGACGGUACCUGAGUAAGAAGCCCCGGCUAACUACGUGCCAGCAGCCGCGGUAAUACGUAGGGGGCAAGCGUUAUCCGGAUUUACUGGGUGUAAAGGGAGCGUAGACGGCAGUGCAAGGCUGGGGUGAAAGGCGGGGGCUCAACCCCCGGACGGCUCUGGAAACGGUACGGCUGGAGGGCAGGGGAGGUAAGUGGAAUUCCUGGUGUGGCGGUGAAAGGGGUGGAUAUUAGGAGGAACACCGGGGGGGAGGGCGGCUUACGGGACGGUAACUGAGGUGGGGGCUCAAAAGCGGGGGAAGCAAACAGGAUAGAUACCCCGGUAGUC